ACGUAGGGGGCUAGCGUUGUUCGGAAUUACUGGGCGUAAAGCGCGUGUAGGCGGCCCCGCAAGUCGGAAGUGAAAGCCCUCGGCUCAACCGGGGAACUGCUUUCGAAACUGCGGGACUUGAGUGUGGGAGGGGAGAGCGGAAUUCCCGGUGUAGCGGUGAAAUGCGUAGAUAUCGGGAAGAACACCGGUGGCGAAGGCGGCUCUCUGGACCACUACUGACGCUGAGACGCGAAAGCGUGGGUAGCAAACAG
rnacentral:rRNA from 1 species